GAAAUAACCCCAGAUAAAGCUUCUAACUUUAUAAUAAUGAAUUAAAAGUUCAUUUUAUUUCU
rnacentral:tRNA from 1 species